ensembl:processed_transcript Gm43572 predicted gene 43572
UUUGUUUUUAGAUCUGAGAGAGCCCUGGGUUUCCCAUCACCACCUUACAUGGAAAUGUGUAGACUGUAAGAAUAAGGUUUUAGAAAAGUGAGCUAGAGUUUUUGUUGUUGUUGUUGUUCUUGUUGUUUUUAAGUGUGUGUUUCAGCCUUGGCAGUGGAUUCUUUGGCAGUUGUGUGGCCCAGAGGGAACCAGACGCAGAGAAAAGUCAAGCCAGUCUCUUUCAGAUACAAGGGUAGCUGUUCAGAUUUCUACUCCACUGAGGUAGAAGCAAACCUCCCUCCCGGCUAUUCGUAGAGAAUAAUAAGGGCCCUUCUCUGACCUGGGACACAUCAGUAAUAGCUCGACUCCCAGCAAGCCUCAAGGGAUCUAUCUGCCCAGCUUGGCUUCCCCAGCACUGGGAUUGAGUGCCUGGCACCAUCCCUGGCUCUUCUGCAUAGGUUAAAAACGGCUGACUCAGGACCUCAGGCAGACACUUUAUAACUGAAAUAUUAGCCCAAUAAAUAUUAAUUGAUUUUA